rnacentral:sRNA from 1 species
AGGUGGUUUGCCAUGUCCAAGUUUGCCUGUAUUUUGACUGACUGACAUGUUUGCGCUAAUACCAGGCCAUCGUUAACGCCGUGGACCUUUUUUUUUUCCUUUUUUUCGCUAACUCCACUUGGCCCUGGUUUACGGUAUUAGGAGUGGCCUUUGGCCGCACUUUUAAAAAGGACUUGCUUCCACAGGGGUUUUUUUUUUGUCUUCUCCCCUUGGCAACGUUAGUCAUCGUCUGUUUAAAUUUGGGCUUUUACUUUUAAAUUUUUGUUGUUUCAAGGGAUAGUUAUACGGUAUGGUAUGGUGGGAUACUAAAUUGUUCAAUUUUAUCCGCACUUGUAAUAGCAGAUUGUACUUACGCAC